AUCAUCAUCAGGCCAUGACACAACAUACAUACACCCCAUCAUGAGCUGUGCCCUCCGGGACUCCUUUAAAUGCAGUACCCCGCUCUUCACACAAAGCACCUUUAAUUACAGAGAGCAAGGACAGAGAGCGAGAGAGAGGAAACAGAGGAGAAAAGAGAUAUGGGAGAUUUUGGGUUUGAAUCAGAAUCUGGGGUUUCGGUCCACGAGACAACGAACCCAGAAGAAGAGGCCGCGGAAUAUUUAGAAGAUGAGAGCUUCGAGCAUGAAUGGCCGAAGAAGAAGCAGAAGAAGAAGAAGAACCAGGUUUUGCUUGAAGGGUAUGUGGAGACGUCGGAGGAGGAUCAUGAUGCAGAGCAGGGAGGAGGGUCUAAGUCCGUGGCAAGGACGAAGAGCUUGACGGACGAUGAUCUGGACGAGCUUAAAGGGUGUUUGGAUCUAGGGUUUGGGUUCAGCUACGAGGAGAUUCCCGAGCUCUGCAACACUUUGCCGGCUCUCGAGCUCUGUUACUCCAUGAGCCAGAAGUUCAUGGACGAGCAGCAGCAGAAGUCGCCGGAGUCUACCCCGCCGACUGCCGAGAUUGCGAAUUGGAAGAUCUCUAGUCCCGGUGAUCAUCCUGAAGAUGUGAAAGCAAGACUCAAAUUCUGGGCACAGGCUGUGGCUUGUACCAUUAGAUUAUGCAGCUAGAUGUUGAGAUUGAACAUCAACAAUUCCGUUAGCUGGGGAAAAUGAACAUUUUCUUCACCAUGGGAAACAAUGGUUCCUGGACCUUUGCAAAGAGCUUGCUCUGCUGAUCCUUUCGAGGACCAAUUGCUUGCAGGGAUUGGAAAGUUCCUACAAUUCAUAGCAAGGAGAUGGACAUGCGUGGAUCUAUCAAUGAUGAUUUGUCUAAAUAGAAGAAGAAGAAGAAGGAGAAGAGGAGCAGGGGGAAAUAAAAUGGCUUCAGUGGUGAGAGCCUUUGUUAGAGCUUCACCAGCUACUUGUGGAGCUCUGCAUUGCUUAGGUAACUAAUCUCACUGGAUAACCACCAUAGGAGUCUUCUAAUCCUCCCAUAAUGCGUGGUUGUAGUUGCUUGAUUUUUUACUAUCUGUGUUUAUCUAACCCCUUAUGGACAAAACCCCUAGUCUCUGAAUUUUGCAGAGGCAAGUCAAAAGGAAAAAGGAGAUGUGAAAUCACAUUCCCUCAGCAGUGUUUGGGACCAUAGAUUUCAAGCCAAGGAUUUGGGUUUGGGUGGAUUUGGACAGAGUUCAAUAGAAUGUUGUGUUGCAUUUUUGUCCAAUUCACAAAUUCUAAUCCUAGUGUUUGAACUCUAAGCUCCCGAACAAUGGAUUCGUUUUUUUUUUUUUUAUAUAUAUAACUGUGUGUUGCUUCUAACUUUUGACUUGAAAGGGGAGAGUUUUUUGCUGCUACUUGAAGGAUGGAGUACAAGGAUUAACUUAACUCAUUCUGUACAAGGAUUAACUUAACUCGUUCUGGGCCAUUGUGGGGCUGCUAGAUUUUUUCCUGGGUUCUUCUGGUCAGUUUUGUGGCAUUGAUGGUAACAUAUCACCCUUAGUGUAGGAGUUUAAGAGAGCAUCAAAAUCAAAGCAAGGGUCUUGCGGUAUGUGAGGAUUAUGCUUAUUUGUUUUCUUUAAACAUCACCCUGUAAGAAAGCUAAUUGUAUUAAAACUGAUUUGGAAUUGCUUGUGUGGUGGUAGAUGUGGGUGUGGUCUUUGGCAAGUAGCCAAAAAGAAAAUUAGAAAUUCCAAAUGGAAAAAUGAUGAGAUGUUGGAAUUGCUCAUGUGGAUAGGUGUGGUAGCCAAACAAGAAGAAUUGGAUCAUCCAAAUGGAAGAUGAGAUGGAUUGGGCACGGAAUCUGGGAAGUGACCCAAUGAAGCAUCAGAAAAGUGUUCGAACAACCAAUUCCUUGAAGGAAACGAGGAAAAACAUUGUGGAAAAGGAAACAAGGAAAACAUUAUGGAAGAGGAAAUCUCAAAAUUUGGAUGUUUUAAGUGAGAAUUCAUUAAACCUAUCCCAUCCCAUGUACACAAACACACAAAUUCACACAUAAGCUGACUUUUACAUUAGAGGUCUUGAGGUUUAACAUCAGCUCUUUGUCAUGUAAUUUUGUAGACCCCAUGGGCAAUAAAUAUGCAUAUCCAUUUUACAGGGUUUUGAAA